GUGCUAUGAUGCAAUUAUCAACACAUCAUUCUGAAAAGUGUGUGGAAGAUUUUUGACUGAGCACA
ensembl:snoRNA SNORD63 Small nucleolar RNA SNORD63